rnacentral:rRNA from 1 species
UACAGAGGGUGCGAGCGUUAAUCGGAAUUACUGGGCGUAAAGCGUGCGUAGACGGUUAUUUAAGUCGGGUGUGAAAGCCCCGGGCUCAACCUGGGAAUUGCAUUCGUGACUGCAUAGCUAGAGUACGGUAGAGGGGGAUGGAAUUCCGCGUGUAGCAGUGAAAUGCGUAGAUAUGCGGAGGAACACCGAUGGCGAAGGCAAUCCCCUGGACCUGUACUGACGCUCAUGCACGAAAGCGUGGGGAGCAAACAGG